rnacentral:tRNA from 1 species
CCCUCGGUAGCUCAUGUGGUGAGAGCGCCUGUCUGAUAUGCAGGAGGCCGCUGGUUCGACUCCAGCUCGAGGGA